UCCGAAGGGGGCUAUCGUUGUUCGGAAUUACUGGGCGUAAAGCGCACGUAGGCGGAUUUGUUAGUCAGGGGUGAAAUCCCGGGGCUCAACCUCGGAACUGCCUUUGAUACUGCAAAUCUCGAGUCCGGAAGAGGUGAGUGGAAUUCCUAGUGUAGAGGUGAAAUUCGUAGAUAUUAGGAAGAACACCAGUGGCGAAGGCGGCUCACUGGUCCGGCACUGACGCUGAGGUGCGAAAGCGUGGGGAGAAAACAGG
rnacentral:rRNA from 1 species